rnacentral:rRNA from 1 species
AGAACGAACGCUGGCGGCAUGCCUAACACAUGCAAGUCGAACGCUUCCGGGGCUUCGGUCGCGGAGGAGUGGCGCACGGGUGAGUAGCGCGUGGGAACCUGCCCUGUUGUGGGGGAUAACCGAGGGAAACUUCGGCUAAUACCGCAUACGCCCCGGGACUUGGUCUUCGGAUUAGGUCUGGGGGGAAAGAUUGAUCGCAGCAGGAGGGGCCCGCGUCGGAUUAGCUGGCUGGUGGGGUAACGCUCACCAAGGCGAUGAUCCGUAGCUGGUCUGAGAGGAUGAUCAGCCACACUGGGACUGAGACACGGCCCAGACUCCUACGGGAGGCAGCAGUGGGGAAUAUUGGACAAUGGGGGCAACCCUGAUCCAGCAAUGCCGCGUGAGUGAUGAAGGCCUUAGGGUGUAAAGCUCUUUCGCCGCGACGAUGAUGACGGUAGCGGGAGAAGAAGCCCGGCUAACUUCGUGCCAGCAGCCGC